GAUGAAGAACGUAGCGAAAUGCGAUAAGUAGUGUGAAUUGCAGAAUUCCGUGAGUCAUCGAAUCUUUGAACGCACAUUGCGCCCUUUGGUAUUCCGAAGGGCAUGCCUGUUCGAGCGUCAUUAUCAACCCUCAAGCCCGGCUUGCCGUUGGGUCCCGUAGGGGUGCGAAUCUCAACGGACCUCAAAGAUAGUGGCAGAGCCCGUACGGACCCUGGAUGCAGCGAGCUUUCUGGCACGCAUCACAGCAAUCCGCCGGCUCGGUCUUAACCGUCAAUUUUUUUUCACUGGUUGACCUCGGAUCAGGUAGGGAUACCCGCUGAACUUAAGCAUAUCAAUAAGCGGAGGA
rnacentral:misc_RNA from 1 species